UGGGGAAUUGUUCGCAAUGGGCGCAAGCCUGACGACGCAACGCCGCGUGGAGGAUGAAGGUCUUCGGAUUGUAAACUCCUGUUGCUCGGGACGAAAAGCUUCGACCUAAUACGCCGAAGUCUGACGGUACCGAGUGAGGAAGCCCCGGCUAACUCUGUGCCAGCAGCCGCGGUAAUACAGAGGGGGCAAGCGUUGUUCGGAAUUACUGGGCGUAAAGGGCGCGUAGGCGGCCUGCUAAGUCGAACGUGAAAUCCCUGGGCUCAACCCAGGAACUGCGUCCGAUACUGGUUGGCUUGAAUCCGGGAGAGGGAUGUGGAAUUCCAGGUGUAGCGGUGAAAUGCGUAGAUAUCUGGAGGAACACCGGUGGCGAAGGCGACAUCCUGGACCGGCAUUGACGCUGAGGCGCGAAAGCCAGGGGAGCAAACGGG
rnacentral:rRNA from 1 species